rnacentral:rRNA from 1 species
AUACGGGAGGCAGCAGUGGGGAAUAUUGCACAAUGGAGGAAACUCUGAUGCAGCAACGCCGCGUGGAGGAUGACGCAUUUCGGUGUGUAAACUCCUUUUAUAAGGGAAGAUAAUGACGGUACCUUAUGAAUAAGCACCGGCUAACUCCGUGCCAGCAGCCGCGGUAAUACGGAGGGUGCAAGCGUUACUCGGAAUCACUGGGCGUAAAGGAUGCGUAGGCUGGAAAUCAAGUCGAGAGUGAAAUCCAACGGCUCAACCGUUGAACUGCUCUCGAAACUGAUUACCUAGAAUAUGGGAGAGGUAGAUGGAAUUGGUGGUGUAGGGGUAAAAUCCGUAGAUAUCACCAGGAAUACCGAUUGCGAAGGCGAUCUACUGGAACAUUAUUGACGCUGAGGCAUGAAAGCGUGGGGAGCAAACAGGAUUAGAUACCCCGGUAGUCCU